GACGAACGCUGGCGGCGUGCUUAACACAUGCAAGUCGAACGGAAAGGCCCUGCUUGCAGGGUCCUCGAGUGGCGAACGGGUGAGUAACACGUGUGUGAUCUGCCCUGCACUUCGGGAUAAGCCUUGGAAACUGGGUCUAAUACCGGAUAGGAGCCAUUUUUAGUGUGAUUGUUGGAAAGUUUUUUCGGUGUAGGAUGAGCUCGCGGCCUAUCAGCUUUUUGGUGUGGUAAUGGCCUACCAAGGCGGCGACGGGGAGCCGGCCUGAGAGGGUGGACGGCCACAGUGGGACUGAGACACGGCCCAGACUCCUACGGGAGGGAGCAGUGGGGAAGAUUGAACAAUGGGCGCGAGCCUGAUGCAGCGACGCCGCGUGGGGGAUGACGGCCUUCGGGUUGUAGACGCCAUGCGCUAGGGACGAAGCUGUUUGUGACGGUACCUAGAUAAGAAGCACCGGCUAACUACGUG
rnacentral:rRNA from 1 species